rnacentral:rRNA from 1 species
GUGAUCUAGCCAUGGGCAGGUUGAAGGUUGGGUAACACUAACUGGAGGACCGAACCGACUAAUGUUGAAAAAUUAGCGGAUGACCUGUGGCUGGGGGUGAAAGGCCAAUCAAACCGGGAGAUAGCUGGUUCUCCCCGAAAGCUAUUUAGGUAGCGCCUCGUGAAUUCAUCUCCGGGGGUAGAGCACUGUUUCGGCUAGGGGGCCAUCCCGGCUUACCAACCCGAUGCAAACUGCGAAUACCGGAGAAUGUUAUCACGGGAGACACACGGCGGGUGCUAACGUCCGUCGUGAAGAGGGAAACAACCCAGACCGCCAGCUAAGGUCCCAAAGUCAUGGUUAAGUGGGAAACGAUGUGGGAAGGCCCAGACAGCCAGGAUGUUGGCUUAGAAGCAGCCAUCAUUUAAAGAAAGCGUAAUAGCUCACUGGUCGAGUCGGCCUGCGCGGAAGAUGUAACGGGGCUAAACCAUGCACCGAAGCUGCGGCAGCGACACUGUGUGUUGUUGGGUAGGGGAGCGUUCUGUAAGCCUGUGAAGGUGUGUCGUGAGGCAUGCUGGAGGUAUCAGAAGUGCGAAUGCUGACAUAAGUAACGAUAAAGCGGGUGAAAAGCCCGCUCGCCGGAAGACCAAGGGUUCCUGUCCAACGUUAAUCGGGGCAGGGUGAGUCGACCCCUAAGGCGAGGCCGAAAGGCGUAGUCGAUGGGAAACGGGUUAAUAUUCCCGUACUUGGUGUUACUGCGAAGGGGGGACGGAGAAGGCUAUGUUGGCCGGGCGACGGUUGUCCCGGUUUAAGCGUGUAGGUGUGUGUUCCAGGUAAAUCCGGUUCACUUUAACACUGAGGCGUGACGACGAGGCACUACGGUGCUGAAGCAACAAAUGCCCUGCUUCCAGGAAAAGCCUCUAAGCAUCAGGUAACAUCAAAUCGUACCCCAAACCGACACAGGUGGUCAGGUAGAGAAUACCAAGGCGCUUGAGAGAACUCGGGUGAAGGAACUAGGCAAAAUGGUGCCGUAACUUCGGGAGAAGGCACGCUGACACGUAGGUGAAGUGAUUUACUCAUGGAGCUGAAGUCAGUCGAAGAUACCAGCUGGCUGCAACUGUUUAUUAAAAACACAGCACUGUGCAAACACGAAAGUGGACGUAUACGGUGUGACGCCUGCCCGGUGCCGGAAGGUUAAUUGAUGGGGUCAGCGCAAGCGAAGCUCCUGAUCGAAGCCCCGGUAAACGGCGGCCGUAACUAUAACGGUCCUAAGGUAGCGAAAUUCCUUGUCGGGUAAGUUCCGACCUGCACGAAUGGCGUAAUGAUGGCCAGGCUGUCUCCACCCGAGACUCAGUGAAAUUGAACUCGCUGUGAAGAUGCAGUGUACCCGCGGCAAGACGGAAAGACCCCGUGAACCUUUACUAUAGCUUGACACUGAACAUUGAGCCUUGAUGUGUAGGAUAGGUGGGAGGCUUUGAAGUGUGGACGCCAGUCUGCAUGGAGCCGACCUUGAAAUACCACCCUUUAAUGUUUGAUGUUCUAACGUGGACCCGUUACCCGGGUUGCGGACAGUGUCUGGUGGGUAGUUUGACUGGGGCGGUCUCCUCCUAAAGAGUAACGGAGGAGCACGAAGGUUGGCUAAUCCUGGUCGGACAUCAGGAGGUUAGUGCAAUGGCAUAAGCCAGCUUGACUGCGAGCGUGACGGCGCGAGCAGGUGCGAAAGCAGGUCAUAGUGAUCCGGUGGUUCUGAAUGGAAGGGCCAUCGCUCAACGGAUAAAAGGUACUCCGGGGAUAACAGGCUGAUACCGCCCAAGAGUUCAUAUCGACGGCGGUGUUUGGCACCUCGAUGUCGGCUCAUCACAUCCUGGGGCUGAAGUAGGUCCCAAGGGUAUGGCUGUUCGCCAUUUAAAGUGGUACGCGAGCUGGGUUUAGAACGUCGUGAGACAGUUCGGUCCCUAUCUGCCGUGGGCGCUGGAGAACUGAGGGGGGCUGCUCCUAGUACGAGAGGACCGGAGUGGACGCAUCACUGGUGUUCGGGUUGUCAUGCCAAUGGCACUGCCCGGUAGCUAAAUGCGGAAGAGAUAAGUGCUGAAAGCAUCUAAGCACGAAACUUGCCCCGA